UACGUAGGGUGCAAGCGUUGUCCGGAAUUAUUGGGCGUAAAGAGCUCGUAGGCGGCUUGUCGCGUCGGAUGUGAAAGCCCCGGGGCUUAACUCCGGGUCUGCAUUCGAUACGGGCAGGCUAGAGUUCGGUAGGGGAGAUCGGAAUUCCUGGUGUAGCGGUGAAAUGCGCAGAUAUCAGGAGGAACACCGGUGGCGAAGGCGGGUCUCUGGGCCGAUACUGACGCUGAGGAGCGAAAGCGUGGGGAGCGAACAGG
rnacentral:rRNA from 1 species